AGAUCAAGAAUGUCCCCUGUAAAUACCGCGAGAGAUCAAAUACAGGAGAAGAUAUUCGAUGAGAAACACAACACCUUCACCAUUAGUGGCCCCUUCUGCUGCCCCAAGAAGCUCGCUAAAAAGCUCUGCUGCAAAGCUAGAAAUGCCAUUAAGUGCUUCAAGAUCGUCGA